AAAUGCGAUAAGUAAUGUGAAUUGCAGAAUUCAGUGAAUCAUCGAAUCUUUGAACGCACCUUGCGCUCCUUGGUAUUCCUUGGAGCAUGCCUGGUUGAGUAUCAUGAAAUCUUCAAAGUAAAUCUUUUGUUAACUCAAUUGGUUUCUACUUUGGUAUUGGAGGUCUUUGCAGCUUCACACCUGCUCCUCUUUGUUCAUUAGCUGGAUCUCAGUGUUAUGCUUGGUUCCACUCGGCGUGAUAAGUUAUCUAUCGCUGAGGACACUGUAAAAGGUGGCCAAGGUAAAUGCAGAUGAACCGCUUCUAAUAGUCCAUUGACUUGGACAAUACUUUUAUGAUCUGAUCUCAAAUCAGGUAGGACUACCCGCUGAACUUAAGC
rnacentral:misc_RNA from 1 species